AGAGAACUUUUGUAAAAUGAUCUAUAGCCAAAAUGUCCUCUUAAAUUACUCUGUGACCAAGACAGAGGAGAAAAUUAGCUUUUGAAAGCAGAGUCAGUAUUAGAUCUGACUGGAUUACAAAAUAGUGGAAUUGGGUUUUUUGCUCUUUCUCUAAUUUCUAAUAUACAAAAUUUUACACAUUGCAGGUUUACUUUUGAAUACUCAAGGAGACAUCCAGACCUGUCUAUACCAGAGCUUUUAAGAAUUGUUCAAAUAUACAAAGAUCUCCUGAGAAAUUGCUGCAACACAGAAAACCCUCCAGGUUGUUACCGUUACGCGGAAGACAAAUUCAAUGAGACAACUGAGAAAAGCCUCAAGAUGGUACAACAAGAAUGUAAACAUUUCCAGAAUUUGGGGAAGGAUGGUUUGAAAUACCA
rnacentral:lncRNA from 1 species